rnacentral:misc_RNA from 1 species
GAUGAAGAACGUAGCGAAAUGCGCUAAGUAAUGCGAAUUGCAGAAUUUCCGUGAGUCAUCGAAUCUUUGAACGCACAUUGCGCCCACUGGUAUUCCGGUGGGCAUGCCUGUUCGAGCGUCAUUAUCCUCCCUCAAACCUCGGGUUUGGUGUUGGACCCAAGUUGUGUGAACAACUGGUCUUAAAGACAAUGACGGCGUCCGUGGGACCCUCGGUGCAACGAGCUUUUAGGAGCACGCGUCGAGUUUCAAGGACCUUCCGGGCCGGUCUCCUUUACCAUUUUACAAGGUUGACCUCGGAUCAGGUAGGAAUACCCGCUGAACUUAAGCAUAUCAAUAAGCGGAGGA